rnacentral:rRNA from 1 species
UACGGGGGGAGCAAGCGUUGUUCGGAUUUACUGGGCGUAAAGGGCGCGUAGGCGGUCGUGACAAGUCACUUGUGAAAUCUCCGGGCUUAACUCGGAACGGUCAAGUGAUACUGCUUUGCUAGAGUGCAGAAGGGGCAAUCGGAAUUCUUGGUGUAGCGGUGAAAUGCGUAGAUAUCAAGAGGAACACCUGAGGUGAAGACGGGUUGCUGGGCUGACACUGACGCUGAGGCGCGAAAGCUAGGGUAGCAAACGGG